rnacentral:misc_RNA from 1 species
GAUGAAGAACUCAGCGAAAUGCGAUAAGUAGUGUGAAUUGCAGAAUUCAGUGAAUCAUCGAAUCUUUGAACGCACAUUGCGCCCCUUGGUAUCCCGAGGGGCAUGCCUGUUCGAGCGUCAUUUCACCACUCAAGCCUGGCUUGGUGUUGGGCGACGUCCUCUUUGGGGACGCGCCUCGAAACGCUCGGCGGCGUGGCACCGGCUUUAAGCGUAGCAGAAUCUUUCGCUUUGGAAGUCGGGGCCCCGUCUGCCGGAAGACCUGCUCGCAAGGUUGACCUCGGAUCAGGCAGGGAUACCCGCUGAACUUAAGCAUAUCAAUAAGCGGAGGA